rnacentral:rRNA from 1 species
UACGUAGGGUGCGAGCGUUAAUCGGAAUUACUGGGCGUAAAGUGUGCGCAGGUGGCUGAGCAAGUCGAGUGUGAAAUCCCCGGGCUUAACUUGGGAAUUGCGCUCGAAACUACUUGGCUCGAGUGUGGCAGAGGAAGGUGGAAUUCCAGGUGUAGCGGUGAAAUGCGUAGAGAUCUGGGGGAACACCGAUGGCGAAGGCAGCCUUCUGGGCCAACACUGACGCUCAUGCACGAAAGCGUGGGGAGCAAACAGG